GACAUGGCGUUGAUAGGGAGAGUACAAUUUUCUUUUGCUUUUAUUAGCGAAUCGAGGAUGGUGAAAGCUCGGUAAAGUGAUAAAUUGGAAAAUCACCCUUGAGUUCCAGGUCGAACUCACUUUUUGUGAUAGUAGGCUUAUGGCGGAUCAUUCACGUUACGAAUGCUAAGAGGAUGGUACGAAGCUUCGUACUUUUCUAUUAGGGUGGUACCGCGGGAAUAAACCUUCUCGUCCCUAUU
rnacentral:ncRNA from 2 species